AUUGAACGCUGGCGGCAGGCCUAACACAUGCAAGUCGAGCGGAUGAGGGAAGCUUGCUUCCCGAUUUAGCGGCGGACGGGUGAGUAAUGCCUAGGAAUCUGCCUAUUAGUGGGGGAUAACGUUCCGAGAGGAACGCUAAUACCGCAUACGUCCUACGGGAGAAAGUGGGGGAUCUUCGGACCUCACGCUAAUAGAUGAGCCUAGGUCGGAUUGGCUAGUUGGUGGGGUAACGGCUCACCAAGGCGACGAUCCGUAGCUGGUCUGAGAGGAUGAUCAGCCACACUGGAACUGAGACACGGUCCAGACUCCUACGGGAGGCAGCAGUGGGGAAUAUUGGACAAUGGGCGAAAGCCUGAUCCAGCCAUGCCGCGUGUGUGAAGAAGGUCUUCGGAUUGUAAAGCACUUUAAGUUGGGAGGAAGAGUUGUAAGCUAAUAUCUUGCAGCUUUGACGUUACCAACAGAAUAAGCACCGGCUAACUCUGUGCCAGCCGCCGCAGUAAGAC
rnacentral:rRNA from 1 species